AUCCGAACGGAGUAGAUGGAAAAUACGGAAAAUGGCAUUUCCCGCUACGUAACAUUUUCCAGUUGCUGUUUGUAAAUUGUAAUGGGUCUGUGAUAGAAAGCUCAAAAUGUAUUGGUUAGGAGAGUAGUCUAAGAUUUUGUAUAAAGGGCAUGCCAAACAUAAAAUAAGAUAAAUUUUAAGUGCUAGGUAUUUGAAUUUUGUUAGAAACAUUUAUUAAGAUGGUGGAAUCUGAAAGAAAGUGUUCUGCGGAGAUACAUUUAGCUGACAAUGCUUUGCCAAUACCCAUACAAAUAUUUUUAUGGAAACAAGUCGGACCCUUUGUACGUCCAAAAUUGGGUAAACUUCAUGAAGCUUCUUGUAUGUUUUGCCAACAUGCCAGUACAGGACAUCAUGAGUUAAAAGAAGCUUGUAAAUCUUUUGAAAAAGUUCUAGUUCAAAAUAUAAAAUCGGGAUUAAAACCGGACUUAACUGAUGCCAUCAAGUCCAUUCCAAGAUGGCGUCUAAUUCAGGCUUCUUUGCCACAUGUUAUGCAUGCUGUAGCUUCUAUUCUUUAUAACAGAAUGAAGGACGGAAAUAUACAAAACUUGGGCGCAGUGGAGACCAAGUUGCUGUAUACUUUACAUUGGAUAAUUCUCGAUGCAAUGGAAGAAUGUGCAGACGAAGAUUUUGAGCAAGGAAUUUUUCAUUUGUCCCCGUUCUACUAUUUAUUCUCAAUACCAACUAUAACGCUCUUUGUCUAUAUCUUCGCUCCAAUCUGCCAUAACCUAAAGGAAUCAGAUUUUCAAAAUUUUCGCCUCGAAAACGGUUUAAAAAUAUGGCAAGCUAUGUGGGAAUUUCGCCAUCCAGAUGCCCCUUGUUUUGUCUCCCACUGCAAGCCAAAACCGAAGUUUCUCAAUGGAAAAAAUUUGAAAUACAAACAACAGUUUGGGGAUGUAUUUGUUGGCAGAAAGCAAUCUCAAGACGAACCCCUUACCCGAGACAGUCCAACGAGUCAAGGAAUAAGUGCUUCGAGCUCCGAUCAACAGCACUUUCCGCUCCCAGGUCCUGUUACAUGUGGGGCUCCAGUUACCAUAACCGCUACCAUUACUACAAAGGUCGACGAUGAGGGUUCUUGGGUAUCGUCUCCAAAAGAUACAGUAUUUCCAGAAACUAUACCAGAAGAAAGUUCUAGUACGGAAGAAGAACACGUUGUUAUAUUCAGAUUGCCAUCGCUGAAUGAGUCAGAUGGUUUUAUUCGAGACCCCUCUAUUUAUACUGCUGAAACCAGUAUUAUUCAACUGGCUAUGAGACGUAAUGGUAGUGGACGCACGGUUAAUAACGUUAAACCGGAGCAUAUUUCACCAGGAGACCCCAAAGCUGGAACCAAACCACCAAUGCAGAAAGUUGGCUCUUCCACCGACAAAGAUUCAUUGGAUAGCAGUAAACUGCCUUCAACAGAGGCUCCAGCCAAAGAAGAUAUGACUAAAAUGGCUAUGCACGUCUAUGACAGUUCAGCAGCGACAUUUUUAGACGUUGCUGUUUUGAGGUGUUUGUUCAUAACGUUAUGGCAAGAGGAGGGAAUCUACUGGGCUCUGCAUUAUAUGUACAAUAGAUUAAGAGAUAUAAAUGAUGAAUCAGUAGGUCAACAACAACCCAGAAAAAGAAGCAAUUCAUUGCCAAUACCUAAAAUUGAAGUAUCUCUGUAUCAAAGCAAUGACUCUAGAAAGGGAGAAAAUGGAAAUAAGGACUUCAUAGAAGUGCCAGAACCCAGAGAUGUUUCCCUUCUUACAGAUGCUUUUCCAGAGUCUCCAUUUUACAACCAAUCAAAAUCGGAGGAGUCUCUACACAAACGAUCAUCCAGCGAGAAAAUAGGCAAGAAACGAAAGAAAAUUUCAGACUUGAAAACUUUUGUAGAGACUAAACUUUUGUCGAAAUCCGACAAAGCUCUGGAAAAAAUUGGACAAGAGGAACAAAGACCUCUUGGAAAAAGUUCGGUGGGUUCAAGAAGAAUGUUGAAUGUCCUCCAAGAAUAUCAUAGAAGCUUGGAUACAGGCGAUGAACACCUGUCACGCACCCAGACGUCCAUGUCAAGAAUGUUCGAGCCUCCCACUAACUUGGUCAAAGGAAAAAGUAUGCCAAGUCUUAGCUGUAUUUUAGAUGAACUUAAUCAACCGGGAGGGUACGUUGACGAAUUGACAUGGGAGGUGAAAAGAGUGGGGAAGUUUGCUCAAAGUCAACCUAUGGCGAAUCCCAUCAUUACUGUGACUGAACAUACUCCAACGCCUUCUCCUGAUUAUUUAAGAAGACAGGGCUCCAUGGACAGCCAACUCGAUGCCGCAAGUCUAUCAGGCAGUAAACUAGGUAACUGGCAAGAAAGAAAGUCCAGCUUAACUCGUUCUCAAACAGACUCUAAUAUUACCUACGCUGGAGAAGACGUACCUGAGGCACCAGGAGCAACCUGCUAUAUAACUAAAGAUGGUGAUAUAGAUCUUCAAGUUGUAUUACAGGCCGUCCACAGAACCUCGGUGAGAGAGAGCUCUUCUUGCACGUUGAGAGUGUUGGAAGUUAUACUAAAUAUAAUAGAACUAAUAAUGGACAUGGGUGUUCUAAAACAAUGCUUGAAAGAAGAAGCUAUGGGUUCAACUACUAAUCAACAGGAUGCUUCUACACCUGAUAAAAAAACUGGCAAAAUGCAACAAAGUAGCACUCAUGGUUCCCUUGGUAUUACCGAUCCAGAUAAGAAUAAGCCAAUAUCUUCCCAUAGACUUGUUAUGAAUAGCAUUAUUAGAGUUCUGAAGCACCUGGGUUGUCCUCAAGGCUGUGCUGAUGGCCAAAGAGGACCAGCAGCUGAAUUUUUAAGAACUCAAUCCCAAAAUAUUCUCGUCAAGCUCAACAGAGCCAGUCCUAAGCAGUUUAAGUCAUUCUUGAAGGAUUACGUCAAAUACGAACCUCUGACAGAUGUUAUGGAUUUCUUCCAUGCUUAUGUUGGUUUUUGCAUUGACCCCAGUUCUUUGUUGUCUCCAUUGAACCAGAAGAGGGGUUCUAGCAAGUCACAAGACACAGUAUCGCAAAGUGGUUAUGGUACCAACUUUGGCGCAGGCCUUGGUGGCGGUGGCAUUAGAGGCAUUGAAGGUACCAUCAUGUCUCACGUCUUCAAGCCACUGGUGACGCGGUUCGUCGAUUCGAGCAAGGAAAUCAAGACGCCGGAGAGUCUAACUCUAUAUUGUGAAAUUAGACAAUUGAUGACAUAUGUGAAAGAAGGACAUGGAAGUAUAUUCAGAAGAGUAGCUUUAAGUGCUCUUAUUGAUUCAGCAGAUAAACCAAGCAAGAAAGAGGUUAACAUGCAGACAACACGAGUAAUCAGACACAUGCAUCAUUCUGAGGUAGAAGAACAACAGGAUGUUCCAACUGACACCCAGUCAUAUACCGAGGAUAGAGGCACACGAAAAUCGUUAUUUAAAAAAAGAAGUACAUCAUCAACUUGCCCUAGUCUACUUGAAACUGAAGCUGAAGAACUUCCAAAAACGAGUCAAAGUCCUAUUGGAAAUAUUAGAAAGAAACAUUAUAUACUAACACCAAGACAAAGCGAGAGAGCAUUGGGCAUUGCUUUAGAACCACAACUAUCUAUCAAGGCCAAAAAAUCUAAACUUGGAGGUCUAGUAAACUGGUUCAAAAAAGGUGAGAGUUCAUCCCAAGACGAACUGGACAAUGUCGAUAACGGCGACUCAUUCACUGAUACAUCCAGUUUUAUCAGGCAAUCUUCCAAAUAUUACCAAUCAAAAGAAUCUGGAAGAAGCAAUGUUAGCCAGAGCAUACAAAAGGCCAAGCGACGAAUGGAAGACAAAUUCAAAUUCGUGCUGAAGAAAGGAAAGAAAAAAGAUGGCAGCCAAGAAGAGUCUGCUGGAGGAUGUAGGCGAACGAAUUUUAAAAAAUCUACAAACAUAAAAAAUAUUUAUUUUGUAGAUUACAGUAGGAAAAACUCGAUGGAAUUCGGCGAUAAUUCUAGAGAGUCUGAAUUUGUAGUUUUGAAGGAAAGGAAAUUGGUGUCUACGAGCACGGUCUAUCAGGGCGUUUGUAGAUUAUCCUUUCUAUUAGAAACGUGUCCCCCGGGAUCAGUUCCCGAUGCACAUUUGUUGGCUUCUGUUUUAGAUUUGCCCCACGCAACAGUAAUCGCAAGGGCAACUCUUCUACUUGAAUGCGCAUAUUUCGUCCACUGUUGUAACAAAAACCAAUGGCCCUCUUGGAUGAAGUAUAACCUACCGGUUUAUAGACCAUCCGGACCGCUUCCGGCCCGAGGAAACAGUACCACCGGUCUCAGAAGAUCGCAUAUUAUGCAAAGGGCAGCUGGAAAAAUGUUUUAUCAAUGGGCAGAGGUAAUUGGCCAAAGACUGGAAGAAUUUAUGAACGAAGACAAAGCUCUACACCCACAAGUGAGUGCAAUGGUAGCCGACGAGCAAAAACAAAAAGAACUCUUAAUACAAGACGAAGAAGAAGAUUUUCUGGACGAAGCCAGUAUUAAUUCGUACGGAUCUUCGUGUCCGAUGGCUUUACGUCUUAUUGCAUGUGUUCUUCUGCAAGAAAUUACUGCAUUUCUUCGAGAAACUUACCAAACGUUACCGAAGUCGUCUAGAGUUAUGGAGAAAGGAAAACCAGCACCAUGGGAAAAGUUAUACAGCAAGGAAGCCAAUAGGAGGUGGAGUAUGGCUCUGUCUUCGAUGGGUCACUCUCAGACGUCUGCUCAAAGUUUGCAGUCCAUUGCUGGAGACAGAGAUUCAGGUCAAGCAGGAGAAAGAAAGAUAAGUUUUGUUUUGCAUGAGCCUGACAACGAAUCUGAAGGGAGUAGUCAGACAACAGUUACUAUGCAGCAACUACUACAAGGAGACGAUGCCAAACGGCAACAACAAGCCAGACCAUCUUACAUCCUGAGACGAGGAACGGCAGCACCAACUGGGGGUUCUUUUAAAAGAAGAAGUUUGAAAUUGAGAAGAGGCACUAAAGAAGGGAUGGAUGUUGAAUGGAAAAUUCCAGACUCCGUAAAACGCACAGACUCCAUCCAGUCGAAACGAAAAGUAAGCUCUAUAUCAGAUAGAAGCGACACCUCUGAACCAGGAGCUCCAGGUGAAGUUAGCGGGGAAGAAUCCCCAGGAGUUCUCAGCGACGAGCAGCCUCCUGAAAGUCCAAGUGACAGCAACGAUACCGACGAUACCUCCAAACACAUGCCUUGGCUUAAAACUAUGAUCCAAGUGUCCAACUCUUUUUACUACUACUGCCCCCACCAACAAUUCUGUCAUCCGUUUUGCUACAGAAGAGUGAUGAGAGCUUGCAGCAGACUUAUUAAAGCCUCCAGAAAGGUUUAUGGUGAGGAGUUUGGAAUCUUAGACGAUAAGCUUUGCAUGGACUUUGGUGGUAAGAAGAAAACUAAAAAAGAGAAGGGACAAAACAGGAAAGUGUCCGAUCAAACAAGUUCAACGGUGUCACCAAUAAGGCGAAAAGAUAGUGUAGGAAAAAAGGAGAAAAUCGACAAAAACGUAGAUACUAGUCAAAUGGGUAAACUAUUUUCGAAGGAUUCAUCUAGAGACAUUGCUGAUUCUGAUACUGGAGCCGAAUCAAAAAUUAGUUCUGAUAAAAAACCUGAAGAGCCUCCACCGAUUUUGAAAUACCUUAAAACUCAGGUAAAGGACGCUUUUCACUCGCCUUUGGCAGUUCUACUUAAAGGUGCAGUUAUCAUGACCGAAGAAAACUUCCUCGAUAUCAUUCCAGUCGCCUGGGAGCUGCUUCUGGAACCCAAUCAAGAAGUCACAGCAUGUGCUGCUUCUAUUUUCAUAUUAGGUGCCGUAAAGUCUCCUCAAACAGUGUCCGAUAUAAUGCAGCAUGGACUGUCUCAUCCAGAUUGUGCUAUAAGAAUUAACGCUAUUUUACGUUUUCAAGUUUUGUGGAAAAUGAGAUACCAACCAUGGCCCAGAAUGGAGGAAAAUGCUCAAGUUCUUUUUAAAGUUCCCCCUCCAGGAAUAGAGUUUACUCUGCCAUCUCCAAAAAUUGGUAUAGAAUCACUGGAUGUUGUUGAUUCCCCCUGGGAGUUGUUAGUAAAGACCAAAGUUGAAGAAGUUACUAUAAAUCAAGAGAGGCAUCGCUCUCUAGUAACAGCUACCAAAACUAGAAAGAAGCAACAAACUGAAUUAAUCAAAAUGGCCCUGCAAGCACAAGACGACAAGAAGAGGGAAGAAAGAGAAAACUUCUUAAUAACUACCAUUCCUAUAACCAUCCAAGCUGCUCAUGAGCCUAGUCUCUACCAUACUGGAGAAGAACACGAGGAAGUUGAUGAUGAACAAGUUGAUGGCCAACCACGAAAUACUGGUCAUCAUCUCCAUUCGGCGCAUUCUCUGUUUCCGUCAUGUCUUUGUUCUGCUGUAGUUCAAAUAAUCAAUCUCCUAGACGAUGCUGCAGUGUCAGCCGAUGGAAACGCUGUCUAUGAAGUCGCUUACCAGGUAAUAUGGACGUGUUUGGUAGAAGAUAGUGCUCUAUUUUUAAGAUACAUUUUGGAAAGACUAACCAGAGAAAAACAAGAACUCAUGUUCAAAAUUUUAAGGCAUUUGAUCAGAUUUAUUCCAAAGCUACCACAGCAAGCAGCGUUUGCUCUAUACAAUUAUAUAAUUGGUUACGUGAUGUUCUACGUAAGAUCUCCACAUGAAGAUGGUCAGAAGUUGAUUGGAGCUGCCCUAUCACUUUUAUGGAUGGUUGUUCAUAGCGUCCAUGGCAUUAUGUUUAAAGAUCUCAAACAAAUUCUACGCAAAGAACAAUGCGAUGCGUCCAUUUUGUUGACGGCAAACGUCCCUUCUGCGAAGAAAAUUAUCGUCCACGGUCCGCAAGAUCCAGAUGCCGGAGGAAUCCCAUCUCAGUUCCCUGUUCAAGAAGAUACACAAUUUUGUCAAAUAUUACGAGAAGCUUUGGAUUUCUUUGGCAUAGAGGAAUCUAAACAUAAAGAAUUCUUUUUGGUAGAUUACAAAACUCAUCAAAUUCGAAAUCCUUCAUCAUACGUUCGUGAUUACUAUUUUUUUAAAAGAUCGCAGUAUCCACAACUGGAGCUUGUCCAUAUGAAACCAGACGUUGCUUUUAACGCUCUACAAAAACAAGAAUUGUUGCAUAAGUUUGUGGAAAUAGGGAAAGUCCUUUUGACAUGGGCUAUUUUAAAAAAUGUUGAUAUGGUGGUGCAAAGAGUGGUGUUUCUUCACGAGGAGUUGAUGAAACUACCAUCGUUUCCCAGGAAAGCUUUGGAAUCUGAUUUGGAUUUAUAUAAAAGUGGACCACUUGGUAAGGAACUUCUUGGGCUGGAUGUUUUACACAAAUUUAUGUGGGUGAGAUUGAUAGCCCGAAUGUUCGAAGCAAUGGCUGGUAACUUUGCUUACUCCGGAGAUAUCCAUCUCUUCGUGAACGUGCUCAAUGGAGCUUUGGUCCUUCAUUCGGAAGACGCCUGCAUUUUGAGAUACGUCACCGCGACAUAUAUCAAUGCAGCGUUCCAUUUCAAAAAUAUUUUUUCGACGAAUGGGUAUCUACUAAUCAUGCCCACUUUGCUAAAGAUCUACUCCAACCACCAAACUAAUCAACUGGUGACGACUACAAUUGAAUAUGCAGUAAAACAAUUUUAUUUGAUGAAUAGAAAGCCGUUCAUAUUACAAAUGUUUGGCUCAGUGUCUGCAAUGUUGGAUACGGAUGAAGACGGAACCUACGGGGAUGCCCAUAAGAUUCAAUCCAGUUGUCUCUUCAAUUUACUUCUGAGUCUGGAAACCCCAUCUCCAGAUCCGCUAAAUAUCGCAGAAUUGGUUAAAGAAGACAAACCCUUGAAAGCUAUCGAUUUUUGCUACCACGACGAGAAUGAGAUGGUUACCAUCUUAGACUGUAUUUCAAUGUGCGUAAUGGUAGUCUCAUAUUCGUCAGAAAGUGUUAGAGGAUACCAAAUGCUGAUAAUUUUGGAAGCAAUUCUACCAUGUUAUGUACGCCAAAUUCAAUAUCCAACAUAUAACAAAGAAGGCAAGAAGGAGAAAGAUAUAAUAAAUCAACUUGCAGUCGCUAUAAAAACCUUGGUGAAUAACUGUGAAUCUUUGACGAAAAGUUACAACGGACCUCAUAGGUCAAGUCCAGAACACAAAGGCUCCAGCCAAAGAAAUUAUAGUCGAGGACCUUAUUCUCCAGGAUUUGACUUCGAGGACGACUCCCAUUCAAAGUUUAUGAGCGAGCAUUCUAGAGCGAAGAGCAUGUACGAACACGACGUGGAAGAUUCCGAGGUUUUAAGGGCUGAGUACAGAAGACCAAGAGAUGUAUUGUUGUCCUUAGUGGGCGAAUUUGUGUGCAAAGCAUCGAUAAGACUGCAAGAACUGAAUAAGAAGAGUAAUAAUGACGGAAAAGUGGUGGAAUUGUUGGAUAUAAGGUCUCAUGUGCGAUUAGCUGAUAUAGCUCACACGUUGUUGAAAGUGUCCCCUUAUGAUCCAGAAUCUAUGGGAUGCAGAGGUUUGCAGCAUUAUAUGACGUACAUUUUACCAUCCACUGAUUGGUCUAAUGAUGCCAUGCGUCCAGCUUUGGUCACUAUUCUGAGAAGACUGGAUAAAGUGUUCCAAAAAAUAUCUAAAAAGACUUCUAUAAGGAGAAACACUGAUUGGGAUGCAGCAGCAGGAUUACUUAAGGGCAUUUACGAUACAAUGGUUAAAUAUCCCUACAUAAUCCACUGGUCUCAGAUUAAAGCACUUAUCAGUACAUGUCAGAGUUUAGUGGUAAGUGGUGACAACUGUCAAUCUGAAGGAAUGACCUCAGCUACAGCGGCGCUAUUGAGGCAAGCUCCCCCACCACACUUUUGCUCCAUGGUGGUGCGUCUCAUUGCUCUACAAAUUCAAAAUAUGCAAGAUACAUCCACUUUGGAGCAAGUGUGCGGUGGUAGUUCCCUUUUCCCAUCUCAAGAAAAAACUGAGAGCAUGAUUAUUAACCUUAUCAUGCCUCUGUGUCUUCGAGUAGGAUCUGGAAGGAAAGACGUUGGUCAAAUGAAACAAGCCGACAUUAGUUUCGCACUAACUCUGGUACUGCAUGCCAUGAGUCCACCAAAUACGAAGAGUUUGAAUCCUUCAGGUCCGAAUGUUAAACCAACGGCGGAAAAUAGAACUGGAAGUUUGACUUUUACUGGCACAAGGGAUGUGAAAUUAUCUGCGAAAAUCAAAACAUCUUUAUACCAAGUGGCGUUCUUAGCUUUAAAAAUCAUGGCGAUAUGUUUUGAAGGCGAGUUGAUGAACGAGUGGUCGAAGAUCGGGCGAACUAUGAGGGAACUUGGCAAAAGAAAUGAAGCUGCGACCUUUGUUUGGGACUUUUUAGAUUUCGUCGUUACUCACCGGACCGUUCUGUAUAUCUUAAUGCAACCCUUCAUAUUCCAAAAGAAUCGUCAAGUACAAGCCACACUUCAACUCCCGUUCAAAGUUCACACAUAAAUGAAGGACAGGAACCAAAUGCUAACGGUCACUCCACGCCAGGCGCUCAACCAGACCGUUCAUCCCAAAGAUCUUCAGUUAGUGACGACCACGGUGUACCUAUGCCCAAGUCAGAAUCCCUCAUGUUCCAUAAGGCCCACAAACUGCGUUUCGUUUCUUCCGUAGAAUUUAGACACUCCUCAGGAGAAACAUCGACUACACCCUUAAGUCCAGGAAGUCCUGCGGAAGACAGCUCUGGAGAGAUAUAUCCAAAUAAACCAAGAUUGCAGCGUAUUAAACCCCAAA
rnacentral:misc_RNA from 1 species